rnacentral:lncRNA from 1 species
UACAACCAAGGGGUGUGGCCAAAGGGGAGGGGCUAAGGAGUGGGUGUGUCCUGAAAGGGGUGGGGUCAGAAAGGAGGGUGCUCAUUGGGGGUGGGGUUACAAGGGGGUGUGGCCAUGGUGGGCGGGGCUAACCUGUGGCCAUCUCCCCCCCCCCCAGCCGCGCUGACCUGGGCCUGGAGCGGAGCGGGGCCGGGAGCCUGCGCUGCCCCGCCCUGCUGGUGGUCGGUGACCAGGCCCCCCAUGAGGACGCCGUGGUGGAAUGCAACGCCAAACUGGACCCGACGCAGACGUCGUUCCUGAAGAUGGCCGACGGGGGCGGGCAGCCACAGAUCGCCCAGGUGAGGGGUCAGAGGUCGUGGGGGCGUGGCCCAGGGGCGUGGCCAUCGCUUGGGAGGUGUGGUCAGCGGUCAGUGGGCGUCGCCAGCGCUGACCACGCCCCCUUCCCCAGCCUGGCCGCCUGACCGAGGCCAUCAAGUACUUCCUGCAGGGGAUGGGCUACAGUGAGUGAGCUCGUUAAUAUGCAUGAGGGCUCAUUAAUAUGCACGAGGACUUGUUAACAUGCAUGGCAAGCUCAUUAAUAUGCACAAGAAACCCAACACGAUUAGUGGGUUAAUUAAUAUGCAUGAGAGCUCAUUAAUAUGCAAGAGGUUUCAUUAAUAUGCAUGAGGGUUUGUUAAUAUGUAUGAGAAACUCAACAUGCAUGAUGAGCUCAUUAACAUGCAUGAUGGCUCGUUAAUAUGCACAAGAAACAACGUGCAUGAUGGACUCAUUAAUAUGCAUGAUGGGCUCAUUAACGUGCAUGACGGCUUGUUAAUAUGCACGAGAAUCUCAGCAUGAUUGGUGGGUUAAUUAAUAUGCAUGAGGGGCAUAUUUGUGAGAAACUCAACAUGUGUAAUUGGCUCAUUAAUAUGCAUGGUGGGCUCAUUAAUAUGCAUGAGUGAUUUGUUAAUGUGCGUUGACACAAGGGGUGAGGGGGGCGUGGCUUGGGCAAAGGGGCGUGGCUUGGGGACAGGGCAUGGCUUUGUAU